UGCCCUAUUUUCUACAGAGAAUCACGCAUACUGCCAAAACUCCACUAUUAGGUCUUAAACCUGCUCCAUCUGCUGCCUGUGCUGGUUGCAUGGACCAUAAUGAGCACGCUGCCACUUCCAGCACCCAGCAGUGAUUGAUGCUGUGUUAAGAGGACACCAGUGGUUCCGGUCUAUUUACAUUUCCAGGGAGCUUGGCUGCGUUUUGUGCUGUCAUUUUCUUCUGGUAUACCAGCUGUGGGAGACCAAAGGGUACAAAAAUUAUUGCAGUGCUCCAGCAAGAAAAUGCUACUGUUGAGAAAACAUCCUAUUGAUGCCACAUUUUUAAAAGGAGCUCCUCUUUAAGCGUUUUAAAGAGCUGCCACCAGCAACAAGCAAAGCUGCUAAUUUGGCCUGGCAAGUGGGGUUUGCUAAACACCAUUUCAGAUUUUAAUUCAUCACAUGUAGAUUUGGAAUUGGAAUUCUACUAGCAAAACCAUCAUCAGCGUGUUUUUGCAGUUCCAGCUCCCUUUCUUUUCACAGUAAGCCUGUCUCCCCCUCUCCCGCUCUGCCUUCUACAGCUGUCAGCUGUCAUCAGCCAGAAGCACAGAUGAGACAGUGCCAGCCCUGCAGAUCUGACCCAAUCUCCUGUCAAACAGAUGCACAGGCCCCAGCUCCCGCUUGCUCCCCAUUUCCUUCUUUGUCUGCAGAAGAUGCAUGCAAAGGGAGAAACCAAAUGUUUCAUGGGAAGAAAAAGCAGAACCAGAAAGCUCUUCUGCUUCACGUUUCUGAUAUUUUGUUAUCUGCCUAUUUACUAUUUUACGUGGCUCACUACUGUAGGUGAAGAUUCCAUUGUAAUGACUUCCAAACAUCAGAUCCCAGCUUUUUUAGGAACUGAGAUUCUCAGAAUUCAUUGGAGACUAAGGAGCUGGUAAUGCUUUUGCCAAGAGAUCUGAGCUGGCUACCAGGAAGAGGGCAGGUUUCCUACCCUGCCUUUGCUGAGCAGGGGAGAUGAGCUGAAAUUCCCAGGGAAAGGAGCUGUCUGGAUCCAAGGAAAGGAGUCAUGUUUUGAAAACUGCUUUCUAAAUGAGUCAGUGGAGCUAUCUCCCAAGGCACUGGAGCCUGCCAGAGGGAAGAGCAGAUAGUUUUGUUGUUUCUUUUCCCUUUCCGCUGUUGAGAUCGAUUAUUCACCAUCUUGAAGUACGUCACCAGCCUCGGGAAGCUGUUUUUUGACUAGAAUACUUCUUGACUUUUCUAUUUCUGAGGAAGUUUUCCAGCCUGACUUGCUGCUGCUUUGUCAAAGCCAUUCCGUGACAGUAAAGUUUGGAGGGAAAAACAGAGCAGGACAACAGGCGAUGCCUUCAGGCCUGGCCUACUGAUGCUUUUUCAUUCGAGGCAGGGAAAGCUGCAGCCACUAAAGCAGUCUUCAUCGGAAGGACACACUGAAGUCUUGCUCCCUUCUGAAACAUCUCCUUCCACUCUUUCUUCCAUCCUCUAUGUCACAGGUAUCGGAUUCUUUUCUUUCUAAGACAACCUCGCUGAUAUUCAUGUAAUUAAAUGUUGAGAAGUCAUUCUCAACUUGGCUUUUACUUUGCUUUAAAGGACUUACUUCAAAGUCUGCUGCUUCUAUUUCAGUCCUGAAGGGAAAGGAAGGACCAAAAACAUGUCCUUUAUCCAGGAACAGCCACUCUAAGAAAGAUGUGCUCUCUUUUGCCUUCAGUUUUUCCACUCAAGGUCAUUGACGUAGAAAAAUGCCUUUCAAGACACACAGUAAAUGCCUCAGCUCUUCAAGUGAAGACUCAUUCAACACAAUCGCCAUUUCUGGAAGAGAUGUUUGAGCCUGAACAGGCUCUUACACGUGGCAAAGUGUAAGCUCUUUAUGAGCCCAAAAUCUAAAAAUCAUACCUCCCCUCAGAUAUCUAAAGCCAUAGGCUCCAUCGGAGAUCUUUAUUUUGAUCUUUACCUCCACUUCUUCCUCUCUCAGUCCAAACGCAGCUCUCAGUUUUCCAUUCACACUAAUUACAAGUCAUCCUUUUUACCAAAAAGGCUAGCUAUUUCUUCAUCUCUGCAAGUCACUCACCCUUAUCCUUCUAAUUGCUUGCUUGAUUAGCAUAAUUAAGUUGAACUCAGAGUAAUUGUUCCUGACCUAGGGAUGGACUUGUGUGCUAACAAGCAAAUCUGUGCCAUCUCUUCAGUCAGGCUAGUGAAACACUUGAACUCUUUUUACAGGCUUCACUGCAAUGCCUCCUAAGGCAGAAUGCUGUGUUGCGUUUUGUAAGCCCUUUGCCUUGAAUGAAUGUACGUCACUAAGAAACAGCUUGACAGUAAAACAGUCAGAAUGGCAGUAUGUGAAAAUUGGUGGCUGGCCACACUCGGGUGGGAUUAGCUCCAUCAGAUGAGACACAAUGAAUGCUAAUUUGGCCUCUGACAGCAGGGCAAGUCUGAGACUACCUCAUAAGGCUGAAUGUGUACAAAUCUAUCGGGAUGGAUUGAAGCUGUGGCUGCCAGGUGAAGUCCCUGGUGACUGGAAAAAGGGAAACAACAUUCCCAUUUUUAAGAAAGCAAGAAAAAGAAGACUACAGGACGGUAAGCCUCACUUCUGCGCCUGGAAGAUAGUGGAACAGAUCCUCCUAGAAAACAUGUUAAGGCACAUGAGACAUGAGCAGAUGAUUCAAGACACCCAGCAUGGCUCCAAUGCCAUAUUAUGCAUGACCUAUCUGGUGGUCUUCUGUGAUGAAGUGACAGCAUCAGUGGACCUAGGAAAGGAAACUGAUGUCAUUUACCCGGACUUGUGCAAGGCCUUUGACAUGGCUCCACACCACAUCUCUAUCUCUAAAUUGGAGGAUCCUAACCCUAACCCCCAGCGCAAGAAGGAUGUGAAGUUGUUGGAGCAGGUCCCGACGAGGGCCACAAAGAUGAUCAGAGGGCUGGAGCACCUCCCCUGUGAAGAAAGGUUGAGAGAGCUGGGCUUGUUUAGCUUGGAGAAGAGAAGGCUCAAAGCUCAUCCAUAUGCCCUUCAAGGGAAGAAAUGACUCAUACCUGACUCACAAUCGCUCAAGCAAAGCUGCAACCUUUCAUUCAUUUCCUGGGAGAAGCAUCUGUUAGAUUCAUCUUGGAAGAUUAAGCAUUUCUCACCAUCAUUUUACAGAUGAAGGCAUUUGUGACUGGCUAAGGAAGGGUCAACAGAUUCCCUGCAAUGGAUGGAAAACAAGCUUGUCUGGGCAGUUGAAGCUGCGCAGUGGGGACAGUGAAGAUGCUCUUCACGCUCCCUGCACAUUACCCCUGCCCUGUCACUGUUUCUCCCUGACUGAUUAACAGUCACUCAGGAAAUUGCUCGCGUGUCUUCCUUCCCUGACUGUAGAAUUGCAGCCUCUGCGUUGCCUAUCGGGGAAUAAAUAACAAAUGUACCAUGAGGCUGCUUUAGAAACCACCUUGUUUCAUUGAGCUUGCAGCUUCUCACUUCCACAGCCUUCCCAGCUGCUCCUGCACCCCAAGGCCCCUUCCUAGAACGUCCCUUCAUUCCCAGAGGACAAAAAGGUGUAAAACUGGAGUGUUACUGAAAACCUUUUUUUUUUUUUUUUGCUAUCUUCUCUCAAAGGAGUGUUAGUUCUCUUUUGUCUGACACCUUACAUAUCCUAUAACUUCAGGUUCCUAAAGAUACUUGUGUCUGCCAAGUAUCUCCCCUUUUUUCUUUAUAGGAACAGAAAGACCCAGCAAGGUUACUGCCCUGAUUCAUUGGAUGCACAAGUCUAAGGAGCAGAGGGACAUCACCCAGCCUUCCCCACAACUCCAUCAUAUUGAUGUAUAUAUACUGACAUCCCAACGAGCCCAUCACCGCCAUGGUAUAGGGCUUGGCUUUCUUCCUUAUGCUACCAAACAGUAAUAAAGUGC
ensembl:lncRNA